AAACCUAUAGAUAUGCAGUUGAUGUGGAGAGAUGUCAGAGUGAUGUGUCUGCUGUAAGCGCAGUGCCGAUGGUUAGGGGUAAGGUGCCUUCAUCAAGGGCACCUCGGCAGUGCCCCGGAGGAAACCUGGCACCUCUCCAGCUGCCAGUCCACACUCCGUAUCAACUGGUCCAUGCUGGACAUGAACCGUUCGCCCUCCAGUCCCCAAGCCAAGUCCCUAUGGACUGAAUGUGUGGACUGGUUUGAAAAACAGAAAAACAAAAGAUCACGCUGGUGCAAAGCCAUUCCGCUGCUGAUCACGUGCAGAGGUCCUAACUGUGAUAUUGGGUGUGGUCACAAAUUUACCAAUGCACCAAUGCUUUUCCACCAUACAAGAUCCAUCCAUCCAUCCAUCCUUUCAUCCACCAUGCAUUGGGCAAAGGUGGAUAAUUGGAACAUGCUGAAGUGGAUGAUGCAGAGCUAACGUGGAGGAAACCAGAGGAAACACAAACAAACAUGAGAGGAACAAGAUGGGACACAGUCUUGACUGAUGAUCUGACUGGUCCUGAGGCUGUUUGGAUCCAACACACCCACCAGUACAUCCACAAACACACACAGAGGCACAGCGCUCCUGAUCCCUCUAUCUUCUGCACAGCUGUCUCCAGCUCAACUGGUAUGUCACCAUUAUACCCAGGUGUAUGCUUGCCUGUCUUUGCCUUGCAUCUGUCUGCAUUCACACAUGAGUGACUGUUGAUAUUUCUAUAUGCCUUUACUCAACAAGUUGCAGAGGUCACAAGAAAAAACUAAUUUUAGCCAACCUUAGACUUAAAGUUACACAGGUAGAGGUAAGAGGAGCAGUGACAGAGCCACCCAGUCAGCCCCCCCAGAGAGACAGACAGAGGGGCUAAAGGAGGUGUGUCCAUAUGGACUUCCCUGUCAAAGUCACUCAGCUGGGCAGUCCAUCAUAGCGCUGUGGGGCAGGGUUAACACUGUUCUCAGGUCUAAGUGCCAGUAAUGAAG
rnacentral:lncRNA from 15 species